CUAAAUUAGUCAAAUCCUCAAGGUGUGAUCACUUAAUUCGACAUCUGGCAUACAAGUAUUUAUCAUCACCCUGCAUUACAGAUUCGAUUGUCAUCCUCUCUCUUCUCACGUGACCCUGAGAUUGCUUACAUUGCAUCCAGACUUACACCUGUUGCCACACAAGUCUGCAAGUCUUGCUUCUAUUUUUUC
rnacentral:lncRNA from 1 species